UUUGGUGGCGAUAGCGAAGAGGUCACACCCGUUCCCAUGCCGAACACGGAAGUUAAGCUCUUCAGCGCCGAUGGUAGUCGGGGGUUUCCC
rnacentral:rRNA from 1 species